GGUCAAGCGAAUAAGUGCAUGUGGUGGAUGCCUUGGCGAUCACAGGCGAUGAAGGACGUAGUAGCUUGCGAAAAGCUGCGGGGAGCUGGCAAACGAGCUUUGAUCCGCAGAUGUCCGAAUGGGGAAACCCGGCCCGUAUGGGUCAUCCCUUGCUGAAUACAUAGGCAAGGGAGGCGAACGCAGUGAACUGAAACAUCUAAGUAGCUGCAGGAAAAGAAAUCAACCGAGAUUCCCAAAGUAGUGGCGAGCGAAAUGGGAACAGCCUUGUACUCUUUAGCAGUAUUGUUAGCGGAACGGAAUGGAAAGUCCGGCCAUAGUGGGUGAUAGCCCCGUACGCGAAAACAGUAUUGUGGAACUAGGUGUACGACAAGUAGGGCGGGACACGUGAAAUCCUGUCUGAAGAUGGGGGGACCAUCCUCCAAGGCUAAAUACUCGUGAUCGACCGAUAGUGAACCAGUACCGUGAGGGAAAGGCGAAAAGAACCCCGGGAGGGGAGUGAAAUAGAUCCUGAAACCGCAUGCAUACAAACAGUCGGAGCCUGGAAACGGGUGACGGCGUACCUUUUGUAUAAUGGGUCAGCGACUUACAUUCAGUGGCAAGCUUAACCGAUUAGGGAAGGCGUAGCGAAAGCGAGUCCGAAUAGGGCGUUCAGUCGCUGGGUGUAGACCCGAAACCAAGUGAUCUAUCCAUGGCCAGGUUGAAGGUGCGGUAACACGUACUGGAGGACCGAACCCACUAACGUUGAAAAGUUAGGGGAUGAGCUGUGGAUAGGGGUGAAAGGCUAAACAAACUUGGAAAUAGCUGGUUCUCUCCGAAAACUAUUUAGGUAGUGCCUCGUGUCUCACCUUCGGGGGUAGAGCACUGUCAUGGUUGGGGGGUCUAUUGCUGAUUACCCCGCCAUAGCAAACUCCGAAUACCGAAGAGUGCAAUCACGGGAGACAGACAUCGGGUGCUAACGUCCGGUGUCAAGAGGGAAACAACCCAGACCGCCAGCUAAGGUCCCUAAGAUUGGCUAAGUGGGAAACGAAGUGGGAAGGCUAAAACAGUCAGGAGGUUGGCUUAGAAGCAGCCACCCUUUAAAGAAAGCGUAAUAGCUCACUGAUCGAGUCGUCCUGCGCGGAAGAUGUAACGGGGCUAAGCCAGUCACCGAAGCUGCGGAUGCACGUAAGUGCAUGGUAGGAGAGCGUUCUGUAAGCCUGUGAAGGUGUCUUGUAAAGGAUGCUGGAGGUAUCAGAAGUGCGAAUGCUGACAUGAGUAGCGAUAAAGGGGGUGAAAGGCCCCCUCGCCGUAAGCCCAAGGUUUCCUACGCAACGUUCAUCGGCGUAGGGUGAGUCGGCCCCUAAGGCGAGGCAGAGAUGCGUAGCUGAUGGGAAGCAGGUUAAUAUUCCUGCACCGUCGUAUGAUGCGAUGGGGGGACGGAUCGCGGAAGGUUGUCCGGGUGUUGGAAGUCCCGGUCCCUACAUUGGAGAUGGCACUUAGGCAAAUCCGGGUGCGUGAUUCAAGGGUGUGGGGCGAGCGACGUUAGGUCGCGAAGCAAUUGGAAGUGGUUCCAAGAAAAGCCUCUAAGCUUCAGUCAUACGAGACCGUACCGCAAACCGACACAGGUGGGCGAGAUGAGUAUUCUAAGGCGCUUGAGAGAACUCGGGAGAAGGAACUCGGCAAAUUGGUACCGUAACUUCGGGAUAAGGUACGCCCUUGUAGUUUGACUGGCUCGCGCCAGAAGGAUGAAGGGGUUGCAAUAAAAUGGUGGCUGCGACUGUUUAAUAAAAACACAGCACUCUGCAAACACGAAAGUGGACGUAUAGGGUGUGACGCCUGCCCGGUGCCGGAAGAUUAAAUGAUGGGGUGCAAGCUCUUGAUUGAAGUCCCGGUAAACGGCGGCCGUAACUAUAACGGUCCUAAGGUAGCGAAAUUCCUUGUCGGGUAAGUUCCGACCUGCACGAAUGGCGUAACGAUGGCCACACUGUCUCCUCCCGAGACUCAGCGAAGUUGAAGUGUUUGUGAUGAUGCAAUCUCCCCGCGGCUAGACGGAAAGACCCCAUGAACCUUUACUGUAGCUUUGCAUUGGACUUUGAACCGAUCUGUGUAGGAUAGGUGGGAGGCUUUGAAACCGGGACGCUAGUUUCGGUGGAGCCGACCUUGAAAUACCACCCUGGUUUGUUUGAGGUUCUAACCUUGGCCCGUGAAUCCGGGUCGGGGACAGUGCAUGGUAGUCAGUUUGACUGGGGCGGUCUCCUCCCAAAGUGUAACGGAGGAGUUCGAAGGUACGCUUGGUACGGUCGGACAUCGUACCUAAAGUGCAAUGGCAAAAGCGUGCUUAACUGCGAGACCGACAAGUCGAGCAGGUGCGAAAGCAGGACAUAGUGAUCCGGUGGUUCUGUAUGGAAGGGCCAUCGCUCAACGGAUAAAGGUACUCUGGGGAUAUAACAGGCUGAUACCGCCCAAGAGUUCAUAUCGACGGCGGUGUUUGGCACCUCGAUGUCGGCUCAUCUCAUCCUGGGGCUGUAGCCGGUCCCAAGGGUAUGGCUGUUCGCCAUUUAAAGAGGUACGUGAGCUGGGUUUAAAACGUCGUGAGACAGUUUGGUCCCUAUCUGCCGUGGGCGUUGGAAUCUUGACGGGGGCUGCUCCUAGUACGAGAGGACCGGAGUGGACGUACCGCUGGUGUACCUGUUGUCUCGCCAGAGGCAUCGCAGGGUAGCUAUGUACGGAAGAGAUAACCGCUGAAAGCAUCUAAGCGGGAAACUCGCCUGAAGAUGAGGAUUCCCUGGAGACUUGAUCUCCCUGAAGGGUCGUUCGAGACCAGGACGUUGAUAGGCUGGGUGUGGAAGCGCAGUAAUGCGUUCAGCUAACCAGUACUAAUUGCCCGUGCGGCUUGAUCCU
rnacentral:rRNA from 1 species